rnacentral:rRNA from 1 species
AACGAACGCUGGCGGCGUGCCUAACACAUGCAAGUCGAGCGCGAAAAGGGCAACCUGAGUAGAGCGGCGCACGGGUGCGUAACACGUGGGUAAUCUGCCUUAGAGUCGAGGAUAACCUUCCGAAAGGUUGGCUAAUACUCGGUAAGCUUACGGUGUCUUCGGACGCUGUGGGAAAAGUAGGCCUCUGUUUACAAGCUUACGCUCUGAGAUGAGCUCGCGGCCCAUCAGCCAGUUGGCGGUGUAACGGACCACCAAGGCAACGACGGGUAGCUGUUCUGGGAGGACGAUCAGCCACACUGGACGGAAGACACGGUCCAGACUCCUCCGGGAGGCAGCAGUGGGGAAUUUUCCACAAUGGGCGAAAGACUGAUGGAGCAACGCCGCGUGUGUGAUGAAGGUUUUCGGAUCGUAAAGCACUUUCGACUGGGACGAAAAACCUUUGGCUAACAUCCAGGGGCCUGACGGUACCAGGAGAAGAAGCACCGGCUAACUCUGUGCCAGCCGCCGCAGUAAUAC